CCAGGGUCCCCUCAAGGCAAGCAGCUGCGCCACCUUCAAGCUCAACUCUCACUGGGACAGAGCUGUCACAGAAAGCUGAGUGUUGAAGAAUUAAUGCUUUUGAACUGUGGUGUUGGAGAAGACUCUUGAGAGCCCCCUUGGACUACAAGGAGAUCCAACCAGUCAAUCCUAAGGAAUCAGUCCUGAAUAUUCAUUGGAAGGACUGAUGCUGAAGCUGAAACUCCAAUACUUUGGCCACUUGAUAUGAAGAACUGACUCAUUGGAAAAGACCCUGAUGCUGAGAAAGAUUGAAGGUGGGAGGAGAAGGGGAUGACAGAGGAUGAG
ensembl:lncRNA